rnacentral:tRNA from 1 species
GUAGAGGUGGUUCAGUGGUAGAAUCCCUGCCUUCCGUGCAGGAGACCCGGGUUUGCUUCCUGGCCAGUGUG